CCCGGGCCAGCCACGGCAGUAGCCGCUCGCUGCCGGCGAACGCGAACCCCUGGUCGCAGCUGUCGUUCCAGACGACGUCCCAGGC
rnacentral:tRNA from 1 species